rnacentral:misc_RNA from 1 species
CGAAUCAUUGAGUCACCAGGCGAGUCAACCAGCGGGGACUAUAGGGUACAUAGACCCAUGUUACACUACUCCUAGCAAACUAAGUACUAAAAAUGAUGUGUUUAGUUAUGGGGUAGUACUACUAGAAAUUAUAAGCAGCAGAAAAGCCUUUGAUGUUUCUAAGGCACCAGCUUCAAUCGUAGAAUGGGCAACACCACUAAUUCAAAAGGAUAGGGUACCCAUUAAAGAAAUUUGUUACCCAAGAAUUGGGUUGCCACCACACAUGGAGGGCAUGAUUAGGCACUUGCUAAAUGUGGCUGCACGUUGUGUGUCUUCCAAGGAAGAAAAUCGCCCAUCAAUUGGUGAAAUUGUUAUGGAGAUGGAUAGUUAUUGCUUGGUUGAAAGAGUAAAAGUGGUAGUAGCCAGCCCAAGCAGCUGGACCAGCCUUAUAAGGAGUUUGAUUCUGAUGAGAAGGCAAAGAAGAUUAGCCAAGAAAUAUAAGAGAAAAUGUGAAGAUUAUAGUGAGAUUUCUAAAGGGAAGCUCCUGUUAAGGGAGAUAUUGGCAGAUACAUAGAGAUCUUGAUCAAGAACUGAGUCAAUCAACUCGACUGGGUCAAAUGAUGAAUGGGUUUGGAUUAAAUUAAUGAUAAGAUGAAGCUGAAGUCCAAACAGAAGAUUCCCAAAAGUUGGUGAAUAAUAAAACAAAGAUUGGUUGUGAUGCCCUGUCAUUCUAUUGUGAUGUUACAGAUCUGCUUUAUUUUGCUUCUUCUUUUGCUUUUAUGAUCAUACAUAUACUUUUGGAGAUUCGUUAUUUGAAUAGG